AAGUUGGGGGAUCGAAGAUGAUCAGAUACCGUCGGAGUCCCAACCGUAAACGAUGCCGACCAGGGAUCGGGAAUGGAAGUAAACAAAAAGGUGAUAGCAGUCUUAAGGGGCUGUGUGUAACUGAAUCGUCCUUCCCGGCACCUUACAUAUAUUAUCUUUCCGGGAAACCACGAGUUUUUGGGUUCUGGGGGGAGUCUGGUCGCAAGGCUGAAACUUAAAGGAAUUGACGGAAGGGCACCACCAGGAGUGGAGCCUGCGGCUUAAUUUGACUCAACACGGGGAAACUCACCAGGUCCAGACUUGACGAGGAUUGACAGAUUGACAGCUCUUUCUUGAUUUCAAGGGUGGUGGUGCAUGGCCGUUCUUAGUUGGUGGAGCGAUCUGUCUGGUUAAUUCCGAUAACGAACGAGACCUCGGCCUACUGAAUAGUGAUGCCAAUUCUUCUUUCAACUUCAUAGAAAGAGGUGGCAUCGGAGGGGAGGAUUGAAGGCCCAAGUCGCAAGAUGGAAAGUUUUUGUCCUUUUUCUUUAUGUCAUCGCUUUUUGUAGAGUCAGGAUUUUUUGGUGGCUGAGGAGGAAACUCCUCGGUUAUCAGAUGCCUGGUUAUCUACCGAUGGUUGGAUUGUCGUAGUACACUUCUCAGAGGGACCACUUCGCGCUUUAAGCCAGCGAGUGGAAGAUCGAGGCAAUAACAGGUCUGUGAUGCCCUUCAGAUGUUCUGGGCCGCACGCGCGCUACACUGACGGAGACCAACGAGCGAUGGCGACAUUAAGCAAGGGGGAUUUAUAUGCAACCUUUCGGGGUGGUAUGGAGACUUUCUCUUAAUGUCGGCGACCUAAGUCGAAACAGGCUUUGGGCAAUCUUGGUAAACUCUGUCGUGCUGGGGAUCGAUCCUUGUAACUGUGGGUCGUCAACGAGGAAUUCCUCGUAGGCGCGGUUCAUCAGACCGCGUCGAAUGCGUCCCUGCCCUUUGUACACACCGCCCGUCGCUCCUACCGAUUGAAUGGUCCGGUGAAGUCUUUGGAGCUGAACUUCGGUGGUUUUCCUUCUGGAAGAAGAUAAAAUGAAGUUCUCCUGUGAACGAAGUUGACUGA
rnacentral:rRNA from 1 species